UUCUGAAAUUUGAAAACGUAUCUUAUUCUACCACUAGAAUAAGGAUUUCUUGAGGGGGCAUUGUGUCUUUUAAGAUUGUGUUUAGCAAAAAGUAGCAGAAAACUUUGCUAAGAGGUUGAAACAAAUAGGGGUUGAAUUAUUUCUUAGAAUAAGAAUUCCAGAGGUAGGUAACUUCUGGGGUUGGUUUGGUGGCUUAAUGUUAACAGGGCAAGUUUCUUUUCUUUUUUUCGAGACAGAAUUUCACUCCUUCACCAAGGCUGGAGUGUAGCGGCAUGAUCGUGGACUGCAACCUCCGCCUCCCAGGUUCAAGAGAUUCUUGUGGCUCAGCCUCCCAAGUAGCUGGGAUUAUAGGUCCUCUCAGUCACUGGAGUGAUGACAGGAUUCAGUGGAACCAUCUGGAUGAGAUGAACUCUGGAGGAUUUGCUCUCAGGAAUGGCGGCAUUGGCUGUUAGUCACAUGCCUCUUCUUGCUUACAUUGUGAUUCUGGGACUAACCACAGACCACAAAUCCAAAACCAUCCUCUUCUCCUGGUGCCUGAAACUUGACAUCACUUCUCCAUUGCCAAACAUAGAGUCUUGGAUCCUACUGAAAGAGACGGGAUUUCAUCAUGUUGGGCAGGCUGGUCUAGCUGACAGUUUCACAGCAAACUAAUGAGAGAUCCUGAGCCAGAACCACCUGGAAAAGGCUUGCCUAUGCCUGUGUUAUGCUCCCAAUAUCUGUACCUGCGUCAGGCUGCCCGGUAUUCCUGUAGCUCUCUCAGAUCUCCCCACUGGAGUCUCCUGUUCACCUAGACCACACCUACAGUGAUGCCCUGAUGAGAAAGGUAUGUCUGUGAUCCUGAGAGUGAGAAAAGGCAAGAGGAAACGCGGGGAAUUCAAAGCUAAAUUUUAGGUGAGACAGAGCAAUGGAGGAAGGUAAUACAAGGAUGGGAAAUAUAUGAAAUGCUAGAAGAAAACCCUCCCUGACCCAGCUGGCUGGGUAGCAGAGGCUGUGAGCUUAAUGGAGGAAAAGAUGGUCAUGUUCUUCCAGUUCAACAGGGAGGGCAGAAAGCCAAAUGGGGAGCUUUUAAAAGAGAAGAUAGAUGGUCUCUAAAUACCACUUGACUCUGUUAAAGAUACUUGGAGAAUAUAGAUUAUACUUAAAAAUAGCAAAGCUGUACAGGUCAGGCUUUAGCUCAGGGGAGAGGAAAGAGAAGGGCAAUGCCAGAGAUCAACAGCCUUGGAAACAAAUGCUUUCCAGGCAGCCGAAAGGCAUGAUCAGAGAAUAAGAAAUGAAGCAGAGAACUGCAAAGGGUAGAAACUCCUAAAAAGAGAACUGGAGGAAAGUGGAGAUGGGCCAGAAACCACAGAGGUCCAGCAAAAGGUCAGGAGAUGGGGGUUGCAGGUGCACAUGAUGGGGGUUUAACAAAAACCAUUCACCUUUAUUUUGAGAUCUUUCCUACCCUUUCAAAUCUCUUUAGAAAUUGCAGAAGAGAUUCCUAUUUCAUGUUUCUUUCUGAAUAUACAUAUUCACUCUCUUUUGCCAAAAUAUCCAAAAUAAGUUUGCAGACAUCACAAGUUACUCCUAAGUACAACCAUGCACGCAUGUCAAGAACAGGGACAGAUUAUGAAACUACAGUUCAUGACUGCACCUGAGAAAAAAUUACUAUCUCGAUUGCAAUAUCAACAGAAUUGAAACUCAUGUUUCUGCAGUUGUUCCUAAGUGGCUGGGGUUUUUCCCACCUCUCAAUCCAGAAAUUAAUCAAGGCUCAUGCAUAGCAUUUGGCAGUUAUGUCUUCUUAGUAUUCCCGGAUUGAGAAGAGACCCAUUACUUUCCUUUGUUUUGCCUUAUUUUAAGGUCACGUUUAUUGAGGUAUAAUAUACACAAUUAAAAAAUAUUUAAGGGCCGGGCGCGGUGGCUCAAGCCUGUAAUCCCAGCACUUUGGGAGGCCGAGGCGGGUGGAUCACGAGGUCAACAGAUCAAGACAAUCUUGGUCAACAUGGUGAAACCCUGUCUCUACUAAAAUUACAAAAAAUUAGCUGGGCAUGGUGGUGUGUGCCUGUAAUCCCAGCUGCUCGGGAGGCUGAGGCAGGAGAAUUGCCUGAACCCAGGAGGCGGAGAUUGUGGUGAGCCGAGAUCGUGCCAUUGCACUCCAGCUUGGGUAACAAGAGCGAAACUCCGUCUAAAAAAAAAAUAUAUAUAUAUUUAAAAGCUUACACUUAAUGUAGAAUUCUGUGAGUUUUGACAAACCCAUACAAUUGUGUUAGUACCACAGCAGGUUAGAAGCCUAGAUGUAGAACAGUUUCAUUACCUUUAUAAAGUCCUCAUGUCUUCCACUGUCAACCCCUCCUCUAAACUCAGUCCCUGAUAACCAUCAAUCAAUUUUCUGUUCCUGUAGUUUUGCCUUUUCCAGAAUAUCAUAUAAAUGGAAUCACACAGCCUCUGGCCUUUUGAAUCUGGGUGAUUUCACUUAGCUUAAUGCAUUUGAGAUUCAUCGACAUUGUUACAUGUAUUAGUCGUUUGUUCCCUUUUAUUGUUGAGUGUUAUUUCACUGCAUGACUGUACUAUGAUUUGCUUAUCUAUUCACUAGUUGAAAGAUCUAUGGUUUGUUUUCAGUUCUAAAUGAUUAAGGGUAAAGCCAUAAGAAACAUGCAGGGUAAGUUUUGAGGUGAGUGUAUGUUUUCAUUUCUCUUGGGUAAAUACCUAAGAGUGGAUUUGAUGCAUGUUAUGGUAAAUGUAUGUUUGCAUUCGCAAGUAAGUGCCAAACUGUUUUCCGAAGUGAUUGUACCAUUUUGCACCCAAACACACAGCCAUUUGCUUUGUUCACUCUGCAGAGACUCUAAGUAGUUGUUAUCUGUGUGAGAGUUGAUCUAUCGGUUUACUCCAUCAUGUCAGAAGGGGAACACUGCUUUAUCUUAAUCAAUAUAAUUAUACAAUCCUGAAAGCUAGUCUAAAAGUGUGAUGCUACUGAUAUUUUAAAGUCUCAGAGCUGGAGAUUUUUGAAGGGACCUAGUGUAACUUUCCUAUUUACUCAUGACCAAAUGGAGACCCCUUGAUAUUAAAUUCAUUUAUCGAUUCAUUUAAUGAAGACUUUUUAAGCACUUACUAUGUGCCAUAGUCUGUGCUGGGUACUGGGACAGUAGAGACGGCUUGCCCCUUGGCCUCCAGCCCUUGUAUGAGCGGGCUUGGGUUCAGUCUUCCACCUUCUAGCUCAUUGCUUUUUCAGCUACCGCUGGGGAGAAUGAGUGAGAGUGAAGGGGAGAAGAAGCCUUCACAGCCUAGGCUGUGGGCAUGAAAAUGACCAAAUUUUGGCAGCCUGAACCAGACACAGAGUUACAGUAGCCUUAAAUUUUCAUAAACUUUUUCUGCUGGGAUCCUGGGGAACUGAGCCAUGUGUAUAGAAAAGCUUCUCUAGGAUCAUUGUUGUUAGAGUGAAAGUGUGAGAUGUAUCCCUCAACUACAUCAAUGUUCAUCUUAGGGAGAGCCUGUUGCAGAUACCCGUUGAAGAAUGGCAGGCUUGAGGGUGCUAGAGUUAGUGCAUUGGGCAGCCAAAAAAUUGCCUGGCUAUCCAUGUUUCUUUCUUGGGCCUUGCCUAAAGAGUAACUGCCAGGUUUCCUCUCCUAGCCCUGUGAGUUAGUUCAUGCAGCCGUGAGCUACUACUACUUACUGCCACGUGGCUGGCUGUGGCUCUCUGCAGGCAAUAAAUCAACCCGCCUGGAUGUGGGAGUGGUUGACUUGGUUGCAUUUGAUUUCUUUCUGUAGGGAGACUUAGGAAUUGGCUCUGUGAAAAAUGGAGAGGAGAGGGUGGAGACAGGAGAGUUUAAACCUCUUUGUUGGGCCUUUUCAGUUAUUCAUGGAAAAUCUAUAUACUCUGUUAUCAGCUCUAAGCAAAGCAACUUUGUUGUUUCUAUUGAUCAUGCAAUUUAUUAUCUUUAUUUAAACUCUUCAGGCAAUAAAUAAAUAAAAAGCAGUUUGAGGGAAAGAAGCUUCUCAGGAGAAAGUAAUUUUCCAGGAAAGUAGUUUAAUCCUUUUAAAAUUAGGUAUACCAACUUAAAGAUAGUAUCUGAUUAUUCUAUUUGAUUCCCCUUUAAAGAUGAUACUGGUCUCGUUUUCUCCUUUAGUUGAAAUCUUUUCAAGUUUCACUUCUAUUCUCACCAAACCCUGCAUUGCACUCAUACGUUAAUCUUCAAAGAAAACAUAGUAAAAUAUAUUACAACUAUAAAUAAGUCAGUUUCACAGUCUUAUUUCUCUGUCACUUGCUGGUAAAUACAAUUGACUAAAUCUUUAAAUCUGUCAUUGGUAAAACUGGGACGCUAUUUGCAUUGUCUACUCUGUGGUCGGAUAUGAAGAUCAUACAAGAUGACAAUGCUGAUGAAAACACUUUUGUAUAGUGAUUCACUGUUCAUUACAUUAUUUAACAUUUAUCUUUCGUCUAGAUCCUCUGAUACCAAAUCCAGCAUUCUUUACAGCAUAGCAUAUGUAGUAUGAUAAAAUUAGAGAGUCGAAUGAGACAACCUCUAAGUUCCUUUUUUUGAUUUAAAAUUCUGUGAUUUUACUGCAGCUUUUCAUAGAGAGUUGUUUGAAAGCUGGGAACUCAAUAAUUUCUCUUGGGAUUCCCCUUGAAUCUGGGGAAAAUGGCCACUUAUUGGGCAACUGAAUAUUUUACCACCUUCAUGGAUUCUCAGCCUCCCUCUGCAGGUCUGCUCGGCUGCCUCCAGGUCCUUGAGUGCCUGUGUGUGUGGCAGGGUGCUGUGCUCUUCCUCCUGCACCUCCUCAUUCCGUCCCUCUGCUGUGUGUUGCAUUCCCGCUCCGCACCUGCUGCCAUGUCGACGUUCUUCACGUUCGUUCGUCUGUGCCUCCCUAUGUUGCUGUUUCUAUUCUUACAUUUACUCUUUCCUUUGCCCUUACUAGAUAAGUGCUCCCAAGUUUUCUUCAUCAGUGAGAUAUUCUCGAUUUCUGAGUUGAAUCCCUUUUUAUUUAAAAAAAAGACAAAAAUAUGUUCUUUCCUUAAUACCAACAUUGGUUUGCUCCCCUAAGGUAAUUCACAGGAACUUUAAUAGGUUUCUGUAUGGGCACAAGAAGGGCAACAGGUGAUGGUCUAGUUUUUUUCGGGGGGAUGUAUGUGUAGUUAUAACUAUGUCAUUUACCCAUAGGAAUACAACAUGAUACCCCCCAAUAUAUGUUUAUGCUUAAUAGCCUCCAAAAAGCUUCUGUAUUUUUAAUAUUAUUAUUUUUAAUUUUCUUAACUUAAAAAUUGUUUGCCAUAAAAUUCACAUUCAUAUAAAGUCUCUGUGUUUUUAUCUUUCUUUUUCAACUGCUUUCCUUGUUCCAGGAUACUAUAGUUGCUUUUUUUUUUUUUUUUUUGAGAGAAGGAAAGAAAAAAAAUGAGUAAAGGAGAGGAAGAAAGAGGAAGAGAAAGAGGGAGGGUGAACGGAAAUAUUGCUUUAUUCUGAAAAAAAAAAUGGGUAUUAAUAAUGGCCAAUCAAUGUUUCAUUUAAACCUAUGAGUAGGUGUGAUGUGGUAUUGACAAGAAUGUAUAUUUUGUGUAUUUGAAGUGGAGAGCUCUAUAAAUAUUUAUUAAGUUUACUUGUUCCGGAUCUGAGUUCGAGUCCUUGAUAUCCUUAUUAAUUUUCUGUCCCAUUGAAUCUAAGUCUCCAUGUAUCUGGGUGUUAGGAUCGUUAGCUCUUGUUGCAUUGAUCCUUUUACCACUAUAUAUUUGUUACUUUAAAAUCUAUUUUAUCUGAUACGAGAAUUGCAACUCCUGCUUUUUAUUUAUUUAUUUAUUUAUUUAUUUUUGCUCUCCAUUUGGUUGGUAAAUCUUUCUCCAUCCCUUUGUUUUGAAUCUUUGUGUAUCCUUGCAUGUGAAACAGGUCUGGAUGUAACAUGCCAUUGGGUUUUGGCUGUGUCUUUUGAUUGGGGGAUUUAGUCGAUUUAAAUUUAGGGUUACUGCCAUUUGAUGUUAACUGGCUGUUUUAUCCAUUCAUUGAUGUAAAUUCUUCUUUAUGUUGGUGCUUUUUACUUUUUGAUAUAUAUUUUUAGAACGGCUAAUACUGGUUGUUUCUUUCUGUGUGUAAUGCUUCUUUCAGAAGCUCUUGUAAAGCAGGCCCGGUGGUAAUAAAAUCUCUGAGUACUUGCUUGUUCAUAAAAGAUUUUAUUUUUCCUUCAGUUGUGAAGCUUAGUUUGGCUGGAUAUGAAAUUCUGGGCUGAAGGUUCUGUUCUUUGAGGAUGUUGAAUAUUGGCCCCCACUCUCUUCUGGCUUGUAGGGUUUCUGCUGAGAGAUCUGCUGUAAGUCUGAUAGGCUUGCCUUUGUGGGUAACCUGACCUUUCUCUCUGGCUGCCCUUAGUAUUUUCUCCUUCCUUUCAACCCUGGUGAAUCUAAUGAUUAUGUGCCUUGGGGUUGCUCUUCUUGAGGAAUAUCUUUGUGGUGUUCUCUGUAUUACCUGGGGUUGAAUAUUGACCUGCUUUGCUAGUUUAGGAAAAUUUUCCUGAAUAAUAUCCUGAAGGGUAUUUUCCAGCUUGGAUUAAUUCUCUCCGUCACAUUCAGGUGCACCUAUCAAACGUAAAUUAGGUCUUUUCACAUAGUCCCACAUUUCUUGGAGACUUUGCUCAUUCCUUUUUAUCCUAUUUUCUCUAAUCUUGUCUUCUUGUUUUAUUUCAUUAAGUUGGACUUUGACCUCUGAUAUCCUUUCUUCUGCUUGAACAAUUCGAGUGUUUAAACCUGUGCAUACUUCUCGGAGUUCUUGUAUUGUAUUCUUCAGUUCCAUUAAUUCACUCAUACUCCUCUCUAAGUUGUCUAUUCUCAAUAGGAUUUCAUCAAACCUUUUUUCAGAGUUCUUUGUUUCUUUACGUUGGGCUACAACAUGUUCUUUUAACUCACAGAAGUUUCUUAUUAUCCAUUCCCUGAAGCAUGAUUCUGUUAUUGGGAUGCGCUCGUUCUCCAUCAAGCCUUGUUCCAUUGUUGAUGUGGAACUGAGAUAAUCUUUAGAGGGAGAGGCAUUCUGAUUUUGAGUAUUCUCAGUCUUUUUACGCUGGUUUCUUCCCAUUAUUGUAAAUUUAUCCUCCUGUUGUCUUUGAAAUUACCAACUUUCAGAUUAGGUCUCUUGAGUGGACUUCCAAGUUGUUAGUUCCCAUGGCCAGAACAGCGGCAUUAAGACUGAUGGUGCUUUUCUGCCCAGGAUUCUCCUGUCUGGCUUCCUUCUUGUGUCUGUAAUAGGCGACUCUGCCUUCCCGGGGCUCCAAACCUCGGUCAGAAGGGGAGCCAGUCCUGUUUACUCUGCGCCGAGAGCUGCCGUGCCGAGGUGUUGUCACAGCCGCUGUGCCAGCCUCAGGAGUCGUGCUGGGGACCCGUGUGGGUCCUCCAAACCUCGGUUGGAAGGAGAGCCAGCCCUGUUUACUCUGCGCCGAGAGCUGCCGCGCUGAGGUGCUCACAGCUGCCGCACUGGUCUCAGGAGUCGUGCUGGGGACCCGUGUGGGUCCUCCAAACCUCGGUCGGAAGGGGAGCCAGACCUGUUUACUCUGCUCCGAGAGCUGCUGCACUGAGGUGCCGGUGAAACCACUGCGCCGGCCACAAGAGUCGUGCUGGGGACCCGUAUGACUCCUCCACUGGGGUUCUUCUGCUCCGUGAGCGACCAGAAUUUGUCUGAAAGUGUGGCAGUCUUCUAGUUCUCUGCGCUUCCACUGAGAGCUGCAAUCCCGAGAUGUUAGUGAUCGGCCAUCUUGGAUCGUUCCCCCCCUGUAGUUGCUUUUUAAUUUAAAUGUAUCUUAAACCAAGAUUCCAUGAAGCUUAAUCAUAAGGGACAGUGCUAGCCACAGGAAGGCAUGGCACACUUGCAUGCAAAGGCAGCAUGGUGCAGUAGAAAAAUCAUAGGCUUUGUAGCUGGCAGAUAGAUGUGAAUCUUGGCUCUGCAACUUACUAAAUUUGUUAGCCUAGAAAAGUUAUAUUUAGCCUCUUUGUGCUUUAACGUCCUUAUCUCUAAAAUUGGGUGAUAAUAAUAAUAACAAUCUCAUUGAUCUGAUGUGAUAGCUAAGAAACUUUGCCCAUGAGUCAUCGCUACUAACCUAAUUCAUGGAGAAGGAGAAUUGGUUGCCAUAGGAUCAAUUAGACCUGAAUAAGUAUAUAGUGAACAAGGACAAAAGAAAGGAAAGGAGUGGGAAAAUGAGGAACAGAAGAAGGCAGUAAAGAAACUUGAGCCUUACAGAAUAUAGCCAUGAUGGAAAGACACUGAAGACAGCCCAGGAAGGACAGAUUAUGGUGGUUUUACACUCCGAGACCUGGGCCAGUUCUUGGAAGGGAACUUUGAAAGAGGGAAAAGGGAGAGGCAAGCUGAAAGAUUGGAUCAAAGUGGAGCAAAGGGAGGCCAAAAAGAGGAAAAGAGGGAAAGAACAAUGAAAACAAAUGAGCAGAGAGGAAAGAGGAGCUAAGAAAUUCUCGGUGGCUCUUUGGGUCCAGAAGAGGGAGCUGGAGGCAGAAAGUGAGAUAUUUGUUGAAAUGGAAAAGUCGUUUUAUAGUUUUUCAGGAGGAGGCUGUACUGAACCCAUGAAAUAGAAAUGCAUGAGUCGAUAUUAAUGAAUUAAGGAAUUUGGGGUGAGCUUUAAUUUAGCAGAGAAGCAGUUUAUUUAUAGAAUUUCUCACAAGAAAGAUUAACCACUGAGGGAACACUGAAAAUGUUACUUGGGCUAAUGACCUAAAUAACCCAUUCAUUCUGUUUAAGAAUAGGGGGCAGAAGAAGGAGAUGUGACUUGAUUACUGUUCUAUGAAUGGAGAGAUUAAAUUUAGCAUUCUUUCUAAGAAGUGUAAAAGAGGACUCUGGGAGUGAACAGAUGAGGUUAAUCACCUGCCAAGUACCUUUCGUUUAUGCAUAGCACAAGGUUUUAACCAGUGCAGGGGAUAACCAAAAACACUUUACCUGCAUAGAUUAUGUGAUUUUCUGUACAUGAUAUAGCUGGAGGCAACUCUUCUGUAAAGUGAACAAGAAUGGCUGCUUAGGGCCACUGAGGGAUAAAGGACUCUGGUUAUCACCAUGAAUGAACUAAAGUGGGAUUGCAAGAUGCUCAACUGCUGUAUGUACAUAGGCUCCUGCCUGAGUCACAGAGCGCAUAGAGUACAAAAGAAAGUUUCUUUAAAGCAGAAAGUAGAGGGCCGGGCGUGGUGGCUCAAGCCUGUAAUCCCAGCACUUUGGGAGGCCGAGACGGGUGGAUCACGAGGUCGAGAGAUCGAGACCAUCCUGGUCAACAUGGUGAAACCCCGUCUCUACUAAAAAUACAAAAAAUUAGCUGGGCACGGUGGUGCAUGCCUGUAAUCCCAGCUACUUGGGAGGCUGAGAGGCAAGAGAAUUGCCUGAACCCAGGAGGUGGAGGUUGCGGUGAGCCGAGAUCGCGCCAUUGCACUCCAGCCUGGGUAACAAGAGUGAAACUCCGUCUCAAAAAAACAAAAACAAAAACAAAAAACAGAAAGUAGAAAAUCAGUGAAUCACAUCCACUGGUUUGUGAAAAGCCCAUUCUUCUCUUAUUAAGUACAAGAACUUUUAGGUAUUUCUUUAGCCCAGCAGGAACAUAAAACUAGAAAAUCUGAGUAGAUUACCCAGAGUCUCCAUUUUAUCUUUUUAUUUCUAUCUUGGCCCAAGCCCCUGAAUUUCUGUCAGUUAUAGUCAGGGCCCUCUACUGAAAGAAGCGCUAUGAAAACUUGAACACACAUGAGAGCCGGCUUUCCACCCAGGCAAGCAGCAGGAACCGAGGCUCCUCCUUCCCCUUUCAUGAGGAAUUUCUUCUCUAAGGCCCUCUGUUGAUCUCUCUUGAGAGAUGACAUUGGUCUGGGUCACCUUAGGCCAUCAGUCAUAUUCUAAUAAUUUGAACCUUAAAAUGAAGGGGUUCUGGUUUCUACUUCCUUUCCUUGUGUACUGUAUGAACUUCAGAUGCAGAAGAUGUAUGGGCACGGGGCUUUGCCUAACUACACUCACAACUCUUGGCCAAUUAACUAAGGAUGGUACUAAAGAGAAUCAAAACCCCAUUCAAUUACAUAUGGACUUCAAAUUCCAGAAUGAGUGCAAGAUGAGGGAAAUGAGGUAGUAUUUAAAACAGAAUCUCAAAUAAGAGCCAACCAAUACUGCCCCAGCUCUUGCCCCCAGUUCUAAAUUCUUCUCUUGCACAUCGAAAGGGAGAAAGAAGAGGAGCACGUGAGAGUGGCUUGAAGGACUCUGCCCUUCCUCACACAUCUGGGCAAAACUCAUCAUAAUAAGGGAAAUCAGUUGACAUCAAAAUCCAUCAAAGAGAAAAUGCAGCAAUUCUUGCUAGAUUCAAUUUUCAAUUUUCAUACAGGAAUUAAAGCUAAUUUAUUUGUAAUAGUCAAAAUUUGGAAAUAAUCCAAAUGUCCUACAUUGAGUAAAUGGCCAAACAAACUGUGCCAAGGGCCCACCAUGGAACACCCACUAGCAAUAAAAAGGAGCAAUUCAUAAAGAUACCAACGUAGGGGAUCUUUGUGGUGAUGGAAUUAUGGUGAUGGAUCUGUGGUUGCACAGAUCAACACAUGAUAAAAUUGCUAUGUGCACAUGCAGGCACAUGCACACACACACAAGUCAACACAUAAAAUUGCAUAGAACUAUGUGCACAUGCAUGCACACACACACAAACACACACAAGUCAACACAUAAUAAAAUUGCAUAGAGCUAUGUGAACAUGCACGCACAUGCACACACACACAUGUCAACACAUGAUAAAAUUGCAUAGAGCUAUGUGCACAUGCACGCACACACACGUCAACACAUAAAAUUGCAUAGAACUAUGUGUGCAUGCACACACACACGUCAACACAUAAAAUUGCAUAGAACUCUGUGCACGUGCAUGCACACACACAAACACACACACAAGUCAACACAUAAUAAAAUUGCAUAGAGCUAUGUGAACAUGCACGCACAUGCACACACACAUGUUAACACAUGAUAAAAUUGCAUAGAGCUCUGUGCACAUGCACACACACACGUCAACACAAAAUUGCAUAGAACUAUGUGCACACACAUACAUCAACACAUGAUAAAAUUGCAUAGAACUAUGUGCAUAUGCACACACACACACAAAGUCAACACGUGAUAAAAUUGCAUAGAACUAUGUGCACAUGCACGCACACACACACACACAAUUGUAUGUGAAAUGGGAGGAAUCUGAAUAAGAUCUGUGGUUUGUACAAAUGCUAAUUUUUGCCUUGAAUAUUGUGCUAUAAUUGCAUUACUAUUGAUGUUAUCAUUGGAGGAAUUGGGUCCAAGAAAAAUAGGACCAAGAAGGAAAAAUAAUAAAAUAAAAAUUAUUUGUAUUCCUUAAAAAAAGAAUUAAAGCUAAAUAUUGACAAAGAAAAUUUACUUCUUGCAAAUAAUUGGGGUUGAAGUGUUUGUAUGGGGAAAUUCAUAGGUUAUAAUAUGGCUGAGUUGGAAGGUAUAUGAUCAUGGAUGUCAAUUAUGGAGGAGAAAAUAUUGAUUUGGGAGUUUAUACUUCCACAGAAUAAAUGUGAAAACAAAAGUAGCAAAAAAAGGUGACAUUACAAAGGGAUUUUCUACUGUAGUUCAUGAAAGAUAAUACCAGAAAGUUGCUUGUGUAUUUAAACAUUUAGUAAACAUAUGAGAAUGUAUAAAAUAACUUUCUUUAAAAAAUGUACAUUAAUAAUCUGGGUCAGAAUUAUAAAAAUUAGAAUUAAGAAAAUUAACCUUUUAGAAAAAAGGGGAGUGGUGAAGUGGAAAGUGAAAUAUUGCAUCUUUUGCAAUGGCACUCUCUAAUUACUAAAAUUAGUUUCUCAGAAGUUGGGAGAUCUGGCAGAAAUCCAUAAAUAUAAACAACUUCUUGUCUGAAAAGAAAUAAAUGAAAACUGAGACAUUACAGAGGCUGAAGGAGGAGCCCUGAUUCUGUUCUCAGCUAUCCACAUGAUGGGACAUUUUAUAAAAGAAUUCAAAGGAAGUUUUCAAGGUGAGGGGUAGACUCAGAGGCUUUGAGUAAAAUAGAUAUUCUGAAUGGAGCAGAAAUACCUAGAGGACACAAAAAGAGGAGACAAACAAACCAAACAAAGACAAAGGUGAAGACAACGGAAUAGAAGAAAUUCAAGGACAGAUGAGACAAAUCUUCCAGUUUGAAGCAGAGAGUUGUGUGAGAGAGGUCAGCCCGCCCUCAGGAAGGGCAGGGGUGCAGCCAGGCAGGAGUUGAGGAAGAAGGGGAGGUACUUAAAGAGGAGGGUGACUUUGAAAGAGAAAUGGCUGAUCAUAGAAUUGUGUUGAGAUCCUGGGAAGCCAAGGGGAAAGGUGGAGAGAGAAAGGGAGGGAUGCGGGCUCAGUGAUGUGGUAGAGAACCGAGUGCUCACACAACAGUGAAGUAGCAAUCUGGCAGCAGCAGGCAUCACAAGGGAUGGAGAUAACCUGGAGAGAUGGAGAUAACCAGGUUAUUGAGGUUCAGGAUACGCAGGAGCUGCGUUCCCAGAAGGGUUUGAGGAUUGCCUGAGCUAAUCAUUGCCUGCUGCUGUUAAUGCUGCAUGGGAAAAGUACCAUAUGGCCAAUGGAGAAAAAACAAGGAAUAUAAAAAUUAUAUUGUUAGAGGGUGGAAGGAGAUCAGAAUUAGACAUUUUUUAUAAAGUUCUCUGAGAUGUUAAAUUAUUUAUUUUAAUAAGCUAUAAGGUGUAAAUGAGAAGAUACAUGUAAAAUACUUAGAACAAGGCUGGGCACGUAAGUGCUCAAUAAAUGGUACUGUUAUUUGAAAUGUCAUUAUUUUAUAAAAGUUUAUAAGGCUCUUUUUCUUCAAUAAAGUAUUUUCUUUUUCAAAAAUUAUUUUAUCUUUAUUUUUUAGCAGGGCUGCUUUCAUCCUUGCUAUGGAUGGCACAGCCUCCUCCAAUAAAAUAUUUUCUUACCUGUCUCUUUUCUCUCCUCUCAUGGUUUCUUAUAGAUUCAGUUUAAUUAGAUGUUUCCUUCUCCAUUGCAUAUUAUAACAGGAGAAAAAGCCCAGGAGAAUUGCAAAAAUCUCAUCAUUAGUGAGAGUAGACCUCCAUCAUCAUUUAUUGAAAUUUAUUUUUGAAGCAUGAUCUGCAACAAUAGGAACACUAGGAUGCAUUGUAAAGAAGAAUUUUAAGAACAUGAGCUGUGAUAUUAGAUAGAUUUGGGUCUGAAUCCUGGCUCUUCAUCUUACUAAGUCUACAUUCAAGAGGAGUUUGACUUUUGUAAGUGUAGUGUUCUUCUUUACAACACAGAUAUAAUAGUGUAAGUUACCAAGAAAAAGUGAUACAUACAUCAUAGGGUUGUUUUCAUAAUCAAGUGAGACCAACUGAUCUUGCUUUCACCAUCCUCCUCUCCAGUAAUGGCCUCUUCCAGACUGCCGCGGUCUCAGCCCCAGCUUGGACCAAUUGCAGUUUCCAGGACACCUGGCUAAAAUUAAUCAGUUUACGUGUGAACACUGGGUGUGGUCCAACCUGGGCCAAUCAUAGCCUUCAUAGUUUUUUGAAUAUUAAUUGAAAAAGUGUGUGGAGGAGAUCUUUUUAUAGUGAGAAAAAGCCAAUACAUGGAGAAAAAAGACAAGACUUUGGGGGAAGAGAGGAUCAAACAGAAAGUAAAUAUGAUUCAGAUCCCUUUUUAACUGUGAUGCCUUGAGCUCUACAGACCUCUGAUCUGUAGAUCUCUCACUUUUGUGAUUCUCAACUUAAUGGGUUCCACCCUGAUGCAAUUCAAAGCAAUGGCCUUAGAUGAAGAAGCACUAGCUCAGUUCAUAGCUUUGCCCCCUGGCUAUAUUUUUUUUACAGAGAAAGGACUGUGUUUAAUCAGGCUUCGCUAUAACUGUGAUCUUUACUUUUUCUAAGGUUUAGUCUCAAUAUCUAUGCUGGGCUACCAUUGGCUUGGGGUAGAGAAUUUGGUUUCUUGAAAUUUGAAAGGCUCAAAAUUAUUGGACUUUUGGGUAACUGAAAGGGCUUUUAUUAGCAAAGCUGUAUGUUCUUUACUGUUUUACACUGAUGUUAAACAUCUCUUUCUUAUAGUACCUCACUGAAAGCUGCAAGAAAUUGCCAAAACAUGCCAAGACCUGAAAAAUUCCCAUUUAAAAAAAAUACCUUAGUUUUGGUGACUACAUUUUAUAAGUCCCAAGGCAUACCAGGCAAACAUCUAGCCACAUAUUUUGCAUCUAUGUGACAAGGGUUAUAAACUAACCCUCUGGAAAGGCAGGGGUCCUUAGAUGCCUCCAUCUUUCUCCUCCAUCCUCCCUCCUUCAGUCAGCUGAUUCUACAUUUAAGAGCAGACUGAUGUUAACUUCCAAGUUCUAGAAAUGAAUAGCUAGGAGUUUGAAGUGGAAGUGUUGAAAAUCACUUCUGGCUUAUUUACACAGAGAAGCGUUGCAUUCAAGAGGAAUUGGGCAGCUGAAACAACUGUUUCGAGGAUUAGAGAGCUAUGCAAGGGAGUCUGGGAAAGUGAGUACAGUUGACCCUUGAACGACAUGUUUUGAACAACGUGAAUUUGAACUCCAUGGGUCCACUUAUACAUGGGUUUUCUUCAGCCUCUGCCACCCCCGAGACAGCAAGACCAACCUCUCCUCCUCGUCUUCCUUAGGCAUCUCAAUGUGAAGAUGAUGAGGAUGAAGACUUUUAUGAUGAUCCACUUCCACCUAAUGAACAGUAAAUAAAUUUUCUCUUUCUUAGGGUUUCCUUAAUAAUAUUUUCUUUUCUCUAGCUUACUUUAUUGUAAGAAUACUCUCUCUCUUUCUCUCUGUCUAUUACAUAUACUACAAAAUAUUCUCUCUCUAUAUAUAUACAUAUUACACAUACCAUAAAAUAUUAAUUGACUUUAUAUUAUUGGUAAGGCUUCUGGUUAACAGGAAGCUAUUUUGGGGGAGUCAAGUUAUAUGUGGAUUUUUGACUCUGUGUGAGGUAGUCAGUACCCCUAAACCCUAUGUUGUCUGAGGGUCAACUGUAUGUGGUAUUUUCAGGCUACAGCGGAGGCAGCUUUUGUGUUCUAUCGACUCUCCAUAAAAAGAAAAGUUUUCUGCGUGGCCGGGCGUGGUGGCUCACGCCUAUAAUCCCAGCACUUUGGGAGGCCGAGGUGGGUGGAUCACGGGGUCAAGAUAUUGAGACCAUCCUGGUCAAAAAGGUGAAACCCCGUCUCUAUUAAAAAUACAAAAAUUAGCUGGGCAUGGUGGUGUGCGCCUGUAGGUCCAGCUACUUGGGAGGCUGAGGCAGGAGAAUUGCUUGAACCCAGAAGGCGAAGGUUGGGUGAGCCGAGAUUGUGCCAUUGCACUCCAGUCUGGGUAACAACAGCGAAACUCCAACUAAAAAAAAAAGAAAAGUUUUCCCAAUAUAGAAUGUGUUUCAGAUGUUUGGUGGCCAAAAUAUGACAAACAUCCAAUACACAGGGUGAUUGUGCUGAUGAGGCACUUUCCUCUUCUUCCUUAUGUUCCUAUUUAUUCUUGCAACAACUUCUUGUAGUGAAGAAUCUGUGUGUGUCUUUCCCUUGUGACCCCAAGAAACCAGACCAGCUGGAUUUUACAGACGAGUAAAGCAUAUUAGAGGAAAAUAGGAGGGUGAAAUCAAUGAAGCAAGAUUCUGGGACUUCUCAUUGUAUAAGAACUUG